UUGCCAUCAGGUAAAGCUGGGAACUCUAGUGAAACUGCCGUCGCAAGACAUGAGGAAGGAGGGGAUGAUGUCAAGUCAUCAUGGCCUUUAUGCCCAGGGCUACACACGUGCUACAAUGG
rnacentral:rRNA from 1 species